AACGAACGUUGGCGGCGUGGAUUAGGCAUGCAAGUCGAGGGAAUUCCCGCAAGGGAGGAACCGGCGUAAGGGGCAGUAAGGCAUGGGUACCUACCCUAGGGUUCGGGAUAGCCAUCAGAGAUGGUGGGUAAUACCGGAUGAUGUCGUGAGACCAAAGAUUCAUCGCCCUGGGAGGGGCCCAUGUGAUAUUAGCUUGUUGGUGAGGUAACGGCUCACCAAGGCGAAGAUGUCUAGCGGGUGUGAGAGCACGACCCGCGCCACUCGCACUGAGACACUGGCGAGACACCUACGGGUGGCUGCAGUCGAGGAUCUUCGGCAAUGAGCGCAAGCUUGACCGAGCGACGCCGCGUGCGCGAUGAAGGCCUCCGGGUUGUAAAGCGCUUUAGGGGGGGAGAAAAGCCGAAAGGUGUGAUCUAUCCCCAAAAUAAGCACGGGCUAAGUUCGUGCCAGCAGCCGCAGUAAUAC
rnacentral:rRNA from 1 species